rnacentral:pre_miRNA from 1 species
AAUAAAAUUGCUGGGUCACGUGGCAACUCUGACUUUUUGAGGAACUGCCAAACUAUUUUGCAAAGUGGGUGCACCAUUUUACAAUCCUGACAGCAAU